AACGAACGCUGGCGGCAUGCCUAACACAUGCAAGUCGAACGAAGGCUUCGGCCUUAGUGGCGCACGGGUGCGUAACACGUGGGAAUCUGCCCUUUGCUUCGGAAUAACAGUUAGAAAUGACUGCUAAUACCGGAUAAUGUCGCAAGACCAAAGAUUUAUCGGCAAAGGAUGAGCCCGCGUAAGAUUAGGUAGUUGGUGGGGUAAUGGCCUACCAAGCCGACGAUCUUUAGCUGGUCUGAGAGGAUGAUCAGCCACACUGGGACUGAGACACGGCCCAGACUCCUACGGAAGGCAGCAGUGGGGAAUAUUGGACAAUGGGCGAAAGCCUGAUCCAGCAAUGCCGCGUGAGUGAUGAAGGCCUUAGGGUUGUAAAGCUCUUUUACCCGGGAUGAUAAUGACAGUACCGGGAGAAUAAGCUCCGGCUAACUCCGUGCCAGCAGCCGCGGUAACAC
rnacentral:rRNA from 1 species